rnacentral:tRNA from 1 species
CGCGGGAUGGAGCAGUCGGUAGCUCGUCGGGCUCAUAACCCGAAGGCCGUUGGUUCAAGUCCAGCUCCCGCAA